CGUCUCUCUGGACAAUAAAAGUCCGGUCCAGUGGCUCGUCGGCCGGUCGCGGAGCGGAGGUCCGCAGGAUGAACCCCGCGUGCGCCCGCUGCGGGAAGAUCGUCUACCCGACGGAGAAAGUCAGCUGCCUGGACAAGAACUGGCAUAAAGGAUGUUUCCACUGCGAGGUUUGUAAGAUGACCCUCAA